rnacentral:rRNA from 1 species
CAAAUGAAUUGACGGGGCCGCACAAGCGGUGGAGCAUGUGGUUUAAUUCGACGCAACGCGAAGAACCUUACCAGGGCUUGACAUCCCCUGACCGCGUAUGAAGGUACGUUUUCACCCUCGGGUGACAGGGAGACAGGUGGUGCAUGGUUGUCGUCAGCUCGUGUCGUGAGAUGUUGGGUUAAGUCCCGCAACGAGCGCAACCCCUACGUUUAGUUGCUAACGCGUGAAGGCGAGCACUCUAGACGAACUGCCGUUGACAAAACGGAGGAAGGUGGGGAUGACGUCAAAUCAUCAUGCCCCUUAUGUUCUGGGCUACACACGUGCUACAAUGGCCGGUACAGACGGACGCAAAGCCGCGAGGUGGAGCAAAUCCUAAAAAGCCGGUCUCAGUUCGGAUUGCAGGCUGCAAUUCGCCUGCAUGAAGUCGGAAUCGCUAGUAAUCGCAGGUCAGCAUACUGCGGUGAAUACGUUCCCGGGCCUU